CCCCUAGAUGUUCUGGGCCGCACGCGCGCUACACUGAACGGUUCAACAAGUCUUAACCUUGGCCGAUAGGUCUGGGUAAUCUUUGAACGCUGUUCGUGAUUGGGAUAGACCUUUGCAAUUAUGGGUCUUCAACGAGGAAUUCCUAGUAAACGCAAGUCAUCAGCUUGCAUUGAUUACGUCCCUGCCCUUUGUACACACCGCCCGUCGCACCUACCGAUUGAAUGGUCCGGUGAAAUCUCGGGACGGCGGCUUGGUCGCUUGCGUCCGACUGCUGAAACUUGAUUAAACCAUAUCAUUUAGAGGAAGGUGAAGUCGUAACA
rnacentral:rRNA from 1 species